rnacentral:rRNA from 1 species
CCUACGGGUGGCAGCAGUGGGGGAUAUUGGACAAUGGGGGGGAACCCUGAUCCAGCGACGCCGCGUGAGUGAAGAAGUAUUUCGGUAUGUAAAGCUCUGUCAGCAGGGACGAAAGCAAUGACGGUACCUGACCAAGAAGCCCCGGCUAACUACGUGCCAGCAGCCGCGGUAAUACGUAGGGGGCAAGCGUUAUCCGGUGUUACUGGGUGUAAAGGGGGCGCAGACGGCAAUGCAAGCCAGGUGUGAAAGCCCGGGGCCCAACCCCGGGACGGCUCUUGGAACUUCAUGGCUGGAGUACAGUAGGGGCAGGCGGAAUUCCUAGUGUAGCGGUGAAAUGCGUAGAUAUUAGGAGGAACACCGGUGGCGAAGGCGGCCUGCUGGACUGUGACUGACGUUGAGGCCCGAAGGCGUGGGUAGCAAACAGGAUUAGAUACCCGAGUAGUC